GCCCACAUAGCUCAGUCGGUAGAGCAUCAGACUUUUAAUCUGAGGGUCGUGGGUUCAUGUCCCCCUGCGGGCG
rnacentral:tRNA from 1 species